rnacentral:rRNA from 1 species
UACGUAGGGUGCGAGCGUUGUCCGGAAUUAUUGGGCGUAAAGAGCUCGUAGGCGGUUUGUUGCGUCUAUCGUGAAAACCUGCAGCUUAACUGUGGGCUUGCGGUGGAUACGGGCAGACUUGAGUUCGGUAGGGGAGACUGGAAUUCCUGGUGUAGCGGUGAAAUGCGCAGAUAUCAAGAGGAACACCGGUGGCGAAGGCGGUUCUCUGGGCCUUACCUGACACUGAGGAGCGAAAGCGUGGGGAGCGAACAGG